GGUCUGCGCGGAAGAUGUAACGGGGCUAAACUAUGCACCGAAGCUGCGGAUUCAUCUUAGGAUGAGUGGUAGGGGAGCGUUCUGUAAGCGGUUGAAGGUGUACCGGGAGGUAUGCUGGACGUAUCAGAAGUGCGAAUGCUGACAUGAGUAACGAUAAUGCGGGUGAAAAACCCGCACGCCGGAAGACCAAGGGUUCCUAUCCCAUGUUAAUCAGGGUAGGGUAAGUCGACCCCUAAGGCGAGGCCGAAAGGCGUAGUCGAUGGGAAACGGAUUAAUAUUUCCGUACUUGGUAUAAUUGCGAUGGGGGGACGGAGAAGGCUAAGCAAGCAUGGCGAUGGUUGUCCAUGUGAAAGUGAGUAGG
rnacentral:rRNA from 1 species